CCUUGAAAUGGAUACCGACCCAUUUAGACCAAAGAGUGAUGAUGAGAAAUCGUUGGGACCUGAUGUUCCUUACCUUAGCGCUAUUGGAGCACUGAUGUACCUUGCAAAUUGCACCAGGCCUGAUAUUGCAUUCGCGGUAAAUCUACUAGCUAGAUACAGUGCAGACCCAACCAGAAGACAUUGGGUAGGUGUUAAGACUAUACUUAGAUACCUCAAAGGCACUCAAGAUCUUGGCCUGUUUUUUCCGAAGAAUCAGGACCAGACUAUGGUGGGCUAUGCUGAUGCUGGAUAUCAGUCAGAUCCCCAUAAUGGUAUAUCUCAGACUGGCUUUGUAUUUCUAUGUGGUGGCACUGCUGUAUCCUGGAGAUCGUGCAAACAUACAUUAGUAACAACGUCUACUAACCACUCAGAAAUAAUCUCACUAUAAGAAGCCGCACGAGAAGUCAUGUGGUUAUAACACCGCAAAUACCCCCACCAUUAUCUAUGAAGAUAAUGCUGCAUGUGUUGCACAAAUGGAAACGGGCUAUAUUAAGAGCAAUAUGACUAAGCAUAUAUGUCCUAAGUAUUUUUAUCCUCAUGAACUCCAGAACGAGGGUGAGGUAAAAAUCCUGCAAGUCAAGUCUUGUGAUAAUCUGGCUGAUUUAUUCACCAAAUCCUUACCUGCAGUCACAUUCAGAAAAUGUGUACGAGGUAUAGGGAUGAGGCAUUUGAGAGACCUGCAGGGUUCAGGGGGAGAUCACCUCUGAACUUCAGCCCUUAUAAUUCAACCUGAAGAUCGUAUAUUAUACACCUUGAAGGUUAUAGUUGUCCUGAAGACAUCCGUUGUACUCUUUUUCCCAUUGUGAGUUUUCCUGAAGUUUCUCAUAGAUGGUUUUUAACGAGGCAACAAGUGCAAUACAUCAAGUGACACUAUGCUCUCUUUCUCCAUUUUUUCCCACUGGGUUUUUCGGAGUUUUGAUGAGACAUAAGUCGUCACGGUAUUCGCCCAAGGGGAGUGUUGAGAAACCCUAAAAGGGGUUUAAUGGGCUAAUACCAAAACUGCCCUUAGAGGUACACAGGUUAUAUAUAUGUACCUAUACCCCUCAUAAUAAAGAUAGACAGAAAGAGCUUCCAUCCACUGUGUCUCUUGUUCCUCUCUGUGUUGGGUUGCUGGGAAGGGAACGGGCUUCUAAAACUUCUCACGUCCCUACUGCUGUUGGGAGGGUUCGGAGUCCGGAUCGGGGAUCUGCGAUAACUACGUUGUUUAACACCAUAUACUACCGGCCGGUCUCGGUGAUAUGAUGCUUGCGUCAUUGACCAAGUCAGCUGCCUACGUUCCGAGUUCCAAACGGCCCAUCACGUAAUUUGCAGUGAAAUCAUGAUGCUUGAUGCAAAAUUACGAAUCUGGGAGAUCGAAACUCUUUAUUUCGUUCAUCUGUGAGAAAUUAAAUUGUGGAUCAAGUGUAGAGAGCUUCCCUGUGCUUUCCAGGAACCUUCGUUCCCGCCAUCUGUGAUGUGACCUACUUAUCUAUAGAGAAAACUUUCUAUAUAUCCCUGUAAUAAUUUCUAAUGUAACCUUUUGCACUCCCAUGCUACCAUACAAGGAUAAAAAAAACUAUAUCUAAGUGACAAAAAAAAAGGCCCAAAGUACGUUUUUUUAAGGUAUAGCCCAAAAUAUUAGAACAUUUUAUAUAAAGUACUGUACUGUAUAAAGUACUGUACGGUUGCCCUAACCCUCCAUAAAAAGUAUAUUAGGACAUUUUAUGUAAGGGCUCGUCGCUGCCGUGAGCCGGUGACUGCAGUUUAGAGCCUGAGGCUUGCAGCACGCACACACCAGUCCCCUUCGAGACAAGGAAAGAAGAGAAGAUAGCGAUCUCAUCUGCGAUGGAAGGCAGGAACGGUGCCGGACCGCGACCGGGUCGCCGUCCUCCCGUCUCCGUCGCGUGUCGUAGCUGUCGCCGUGAUGAUCUCGGCCGCCGUCUACCUCCUCUUCGCCGAGAUUCUCGCCGCGCCGCCCGUCUCGCCCGCGUGGUUCCUGGUCGCCUUCGCGCUGUGGAUGUGGAUCGACGACGACACGCGAAGCCGCACAUCCGCUGAUUCAAGUCCGGCACGCAACUAGAGCAUCUCCGCUAGUAGAUGCUGCAAACAGCUCGUGGAUUACGCACGGGAGUAAGUGAGAGAUCCAACCAGUUUCCACGCGGGAAGGAAGACAGAAAUUUGUCAUUCUACUGACCUACGUGAGCUCGACCUGCCUUCUUUCACGCGGCAACCUCCGAUCCGGCAGCGUGCUCCGAGCAGCGUGGCCGGCCGGUUGGCGGUCAUUACAUGGCUUGUUGCCCGGUAUUGGUGUGGUGCAUGUCUGACAAAAAGUUUGUCAAUUAUCAACACAUUAGUUCGAGACUCCAAUUAAGCACAAAUGUGAAUCUAGUGGAAUUCGGUACUAUUAGCAUAUACUUGCAGAGACUGAAAUAUCAAAGCAUUGGCAUUGGCUUGUAGAGUUGUAUACCUAAUAAUAAUGGCUAUGGAGGAGACACGUCAUCACAUGGCACGCACAAGAACAUAAGACACUAGGACUAAAAUUAUGUCUGUCUGUUUGUCUUUAUUCUGAAAUAACCUAGCGCUAUUUUGCAGCUCCACCCCUACAGUAGUAUUCAGAACAGAACUUGUGUGCAACUAUAGAAAAAAACCAACACUACGGAAUGUCGGAAUGUGUGCUUGCAUGCCUGCUGCUGCUGUGGUCCUCUGCUUGUUACAGUUGCCACUUAGCUGCAGAAUGUCAUUGGAUAAUGGAGCUGGUGGUAGCCUUUGUGUACCGAAGCAUAUAUAGGUCAAAUGAUUUGGCUAGCAUUCUGUGUGUUUGUCUCCAAGUCCAAUGUAUAUCUUGCUGACUCUGAUUUCUUAGUUCAAGGCAAUGCAAAGUCUGUCUACUGGAUCAUUAUAAUGGCAUGUGAGCAGACAAAAUCAAAUGAUUAUUUUUA